GACGAACGCUGGCGGCGUGCUUAACACAUGCAAGUCGAACGGAAAGGCCCGGCUUUUGUUGUGUGCUCGAGUGGCGAACGGGUGAGUAACACGUGAGUAACCUGCCCUUGACUUUGGGAUAACUUCAGGAAACGGGGGCUAAUACCGGAUAGUAGCUCCUGUUGCAUGAUAUGGGUUGGAAAGUUUCGGCGGAUGGGCUUGGACUCGGGGCUUCUCAGCUUGUGGGUGUGGUAGGGGCUUCCGAAGGCUUUGACGGGUAGCCGUACUGGGAGGGUGACAGGCCACAUUGGGACUGGGGUACGGCCCAGACUGCUACGGGAGGCAGCAGUGGAGAAUAUUGCACAAUGGGCGGCAGCCGGAUGCAGCAACGCCGCGUGCUGGAUGACGGCUUUCGGGUUGUAAACCGCUUUAGCCUGUGACGAAGCGUGAGUGACGGUAAUGUGUAAAGAAGCACCGGCUAACUACGUG
rnacentral:rRNA from 1 species